rnacentral:rRNA from 1 species
AUUGAACGCUGGCGGCAGGCCUAACACAUGCAAGUCGAACGAGUGGCGGACUGGUGAGCAAUGUCUGGGAAACUGCCUGAUGGAGGGGGAUAACCACCGGAAACGGUAGCUACUACCGCAUACCAUCAGAUGUGCCCAGAUGGGAUGAGCUAGUUGGUGGGGUACAGGCUCACCCAGGCGACGAUCCCUAGCUGGUCUGAGAGGAUGACCAGCCACACUGGAACGUAGACACGGUCCAGACUCCGACGGGAGGCAGCAGUGGGGAAUAUUGCACAAUGGGCGCAAGCCUGAUGCAGCCAUGCCGUGUGUAUGAAGAAGGCCGUGGGGUUGUAAAGUACGUGCAGCGGGGAGGCGUUACCCGCAGAAGAAGCACCGACUAACUCCGUGCCAGCCGCCGCGGUAAGUC